rnacentral:misc_RNA from 1 species
UCUCCGUAGGUGAACCUGCGGAGGGAUCAUCACAGAGUUCAUGCCCUACCGGGUAGAUCUCCCACCCUAUGUUAUUAUUACUUUGUUGCUUUGGCGGGCCGUUAGGCUCCGGCCCGACUACCGGCCCCGGCUGGUAAGCGCCCGCCAGAGGACCCAAAACCCUGAAUAUUAGUGUCGUCUGAGUACUAUAUAAUAGUUAAAACUUUCAACAACGGAUCUCUUGGUUCUG